UCAAAAACAUGGCCUUUUGAUAAUAAUUUAAGGUCAGGCCUGCCCCCUGAAUAUUAAAGGGCCGCGGUAAUUUGACCGUGCUAAGGUAGCAUAAUCAUUAGUUUCUUAAUUAGAAGCUAGAAUGAAGGGUUUGAUGAAAAAAUUACUGUCUCUGUUUAAUUAAUAUAAAAUUUUAUUUUUAAGUUAGAAAGCUUAAAUUUAUUUAAAAGACGAGAAGACCCUAUAGAGUUUAAUAUUUUUUUUAGUAAUAUUUUAUUGGAAUAAUAAUUUUUUACUUUAAAUAAUAUUUAAUUGGGGUGAUUGAAAAAUUAAAUAAACUUUUUCUAUAAUUAACCAUUAAUUUAUGAAUAUUUGAUCCAUUAAUAGUGAUUAUAAGAAAAAAUUACCUUAGGGAUAACAGCGUAAUUUUUUUUGAGAGUUCUUAUCGAAAAAAAAGAUUGCGACCUCGAUGUUGGAUUAAAAUUUAAUUUUGGUGUAGCAGCUAAAAAUUUUAGGUCUGUUCGACCUUUAAAAUUUUACAUGAUCUGA
rnacentral:rRNA from 1 species